CCAGAAUACUCAUAAGGCAGUGCCAGUCCUCUAUACAAGGCUCUAACUGCUCCAAUCGUCCACUGCGAGUGUCCGCAUCUCGCAUAUGUUUUUUGCUACAUCGCUGUCUUUCACAAGUCAUCUGAUCGCCACCUGACAUAACAAACAUCAAGGACUACAACCUCAGAUUUUUUGGCCAUCUCUGUGCUGUGGGGGUGCUUAAUGUGACUGACAACACACCGUUUGUACCGCUGGAGGGGCUUGAUGUACUCGCACAGUAUUCGACCGACUAGAACGACCAAAUUUUCUUGGAUGCCCUCAAUGUCGGCCUUUGUAGGAAGGAAGCAUCGAUAGGACGUUGGUACAGCUUGCUGAUUUUCGUGACCAACUUCAACACGGCACAGUAACUGAUAGUGACACUAAGAUGAUUCAGCCUGGAGUAUACCUUUGAAGAGUACGAGAGACAGAAACGACUGAAUACCGCACAUUCUUGUGUUACGCUCUUUCAAGAGAAUUGCUGUGGCCAUACACAUCCCAGGGUAGUGACUCUCUCCGCGUUUAUGCAAGUUCCUAUGAUCUGAACGUCCUACGAUCGUCUGGAUAAGCCUAAAUAGAAUCGGAGACUUUCGCUGUAGUUCAGACACAGCCUGUUUCCACGAUAACGCUUCCACAUUGUCAAUUGGAACCCGGUGAAAUAGAGAGACAAACUCCCCAGAGUUACGACAUAGAGUGGAACAUUCGUCGUCAAGAAUUUUCAUCACACCCUCUACCAAUUGGUCCUUCAGUGAAGGGCAAGAAAUGCUGCCUUGGCAAUAGACUGAAUGUUGCCACUAUUCAGUGCCUGGCGUAAUUUCUGGAGACUUUCAUCUACUUCCGCAGUCACUGUACUGGGUGGUUUAACAUACCGUCAACAGAAGAAAACUGCUCGAGAUUGGUCAACUCUAACAGCGGUGGCUGACGAGGACAGUCUGUGUGCGCUAUGAAAAAGAGAUGAUUCCUGUCAUUUACAUAUAUGAUUUGUUGCAAUCAACCUACGUUCCUC